UACGAAGGGUGCAAACGUUGCUCGGAAUUAUUGGGCGUAAAGCGCACGUAGGCGGCAUUGCAAGUCGGAUGUGAAAUCUUAUGGCUUAACCAUAAAAGUGCAUCCGAAACUGCAGUGCUUGAGUACUUAAGAGGAUCGCGGAAUUCCCGGUGUAGAGGUGAAAUUCGUAGAUAUCGGGAGGAACACCAGUGGCGAAGGCGGCGAUCUGGGAAGAUACUGACGCUGAGGUGCGAAAGCGUGGGGAGCGAACAGG
rnacentral:rRNA from 1 species